AUUAUGUUCCUGUAUCUGUGAGGGUUGUUUGAAGGUCUGAAAGCAAGCUUGCCCAACCAGUCCCUUUGAUUAAAUCCAUCCAUCCUAAAGACACCAACCUCUCCACUGUUCUUCAUUCCAAGGAAACCAAACCCUAGGUAAGUUCCUGGAAUAUCUUGCUGCUCAGAGAUAUUUUUUUUGGGGGGGGGAGUAGUAGUGGGUGGGUGGGGACACACACAGAGUGCCAGAGACUGGAGAGGCUUCCUUGGGAUAGUCUUGGCUGCCGCCGCUGCAUGAAAAGCCACGGAAGGAGAUCUUGAAGGAACACAGCGGCCUCACAAUGCCACUCUGCCGAUUCCCCCUCCCUCCCUCUGCGAGUUUCCUUGUGUGAGUUUCUUGGUACAGAACAGAACAAGACAGGCUGUGUUUGGGCAUUGUGAGCCUAGGGAGGUCCAAAGAGGACCAGGGGCCUUGGGGGGUGGCUCCUGCUGGGCUGGGCUGGCAACAAGGGGCUCCGCUUACCUGCCACAGGGACGCAGCUGUUGCUGCCACGAUUGCUGAUCUUCAGAACCCAGCCUUCACAGAGGGGUCAUGGGGGUCUCCUUGUGGGUUCAAAGAGCCCUUUCCCUGGAUGUGCUCAGGCCAACCAUAGCAGUACGCAAUAUUUCAAGGGCGGUCACAACACCAGUUUGCCCAAUGCCAUUGGCGGUUUCGUUUUACAGUCCCUCUUCUAAAGCAUCCUUGGCGUGGGAUUUGCUGCUCCCAAGGUCUCAUCACUGGCAGUGACUGCCAGUUCUGUCCCCAUCAGCAGGUGUGCGAAAUUACAUCCCUCUUCUGCCUUGGUGCUGCCUUGCUUCCUUACACUGAAUUGGAUUUCCCAUUUUCCUGCCCUUCCACCAAGUUUGGACUGCCCCCCUUGAAGCCUCUGCUUCCCCCCACUCCUUAAACAAUUUGCUGUCGCUGGCCCGCCAGCCAAGCCAGACUGCUCACCACCCUGAACUCCAGACCAUUUCUUGUACAAGUUUAAAAGCCCAGAUUCACGUGUGACUCCACUCCACACACCUCUUCCUUGGGAGAACUGUCCGCUCAUAGGAUAUGGUUGUGGCUUUGCUAAAGCACUUUGCACAUGCCUAAAAGCCCUUGCUUUUUUAUUCCACACCUUCAAGGGGUGGUGCACACACAUGAGCAAAGGCUGGGCCCUUGAGAACAGAUAAUAGUAGUAUUAGUAGUAGUGGUAGUAAUAAUAAUAAUAAUAAUUUUAUUAUUUAUACAACCCACCAAAUCAGGUUAGGUUGCCCCAGCCACCUAGGCAGCUUCCAGAACAUAUAAAAACACAAUAGAACAACAAACAUUAAAAACUUCCUGAUACAGGGCUGCCUUCAGAUGCCUUCUAAAAGUUGCAUACUGUAGUUCUUGUUCUCCUUGACAUCUGAUGGGAGGGCGUUCCACAAGGAGGGAGCUACUGCCGAGAAGGCCCAGGCCCAGCGCAAUGGUUCAGCAGAAAUGGCUAUGUGGAGCAGUUGUGGUUUCCAUCUCGCUGCUAGCUGGAGAAAAUGGGGGACAUGUCUGCCUGGCUGAACUGGCCUCAGCCUAGCAGAAUCUCUCUGCUGGAUCUGGGCUCUGGCAGCACUCCAAGAACCAGUGGCGGAUGUCUCUGCCGGCUGGUCCAUUGUUGCCCUUCUCAGUCCAGCACACUCACACAAUGCCUCCCUCCUCACCCAAGGACAACCUGCCUGGAUACCUGUACACCUGCCACUCACCCCUCUUGGGCUCGCCUGCCUGCCUGCCUGCCUGCCUGCCUGCCCUUAGAACAUAGGAAGCUGCCUUAUACUUAGUCAGACCAUUGGCCCAUCUAGCUCAGUACUGUCUACACUGACUGGCAGAAGCUUUCCAGGAUGUCAGGCAAGAAUUGUUCCCAUCCCUGCCAGGAGAUGAUGAUGAUGAUGAUGAUGAUGAUGAUGAUGAUGAUGAUAAUAAUAAUAAUAAUAAUAAUAAUAAUAAUAAUUUGUUAUUUAUACCCUGCCCAUCUGGCUGGGUUUCCCCAGCCACUCUGGGCAGCUCUCAGCAAAAUAUUAAAAUACAACAAUUCAUCAAAUAUUAAAAGCUUCCCUCAACAGGGCUGCCUUUAGAUGUCUUCUAAAAGUCAGGCAGUUGUUUAUUUCUUUGACAUCUGGUGGGAGGGCAUUCCACAGGGCAGGUGCCACUAUCGAGAAGGCCCUCUGCCUGGUUCCCUGUAGCUUUGCUUCUCGCAAUGAGGGAACCGCCAGAAGGCCCUCGGCGCUGGACCUCAGCGUCUGGGCAGAACGAUGGGGGUGGAGACGCUCCUUCAGGUAUACUGGACCGAGGCCGUUUAGGGCUUUAAAGGUCAGCACCAACACUUUGAAUUGUGCCUGGAAACGUACUGGGAGCCAAUGUAGGUCUUUCAGGACCGAUGUUAUAUGGUCUUGGCUGCUGCUCCCAGUCACCAGUCUAGCUGCUGCAUUCUGGAUUUGUUGCAGUUUCUGGGUCAGAUGCUGGCAGGAAUUGAACUGGGGACCUUCUGCUCGCAAGGCAGGCUCUCUACCACUGGGCUGUGGCUCUGCUUUCUGGCUGGUCCCCUUGGGUUUCCUGGGAGAUUCUUGCAGGGUGUGUGGGUCUGCCUAGGUGGGCUCUGGACCUAGCAAAUGACCCAGAGCUCUUGGUCUGCUUCCCACAAAUGUAAGUGCUUGGUGAUGAUGCUGAGAAGUCUCACCUGAGCAGGGGCCAGCUCAGGUGAGACUGCAAAGAGACACCCGCCCUGCCCCAGUUGGAAAAGGUUCUGAAAAGGGCAACAAAAAUUGGGGAUGGAGUGGCUUCCCUAUGAAGAAAGGUAGCGUUUGGGACUAGGUAAGAGGUGUCAUGAUAGACAUUUAUUAAAUGAUGCUUAGCAUGGAGAAGGCAGAUGGAGGAAAGCUUUUCUCCCUCUCUCAUAGCACUAGAACUUGUGGACAACACAUGAAGUUGAAUGUUGAACAAUUCAGGACGAACAAAAGAAAGCCCUUCUUCAUGCAUCUCAGUAGUAAUAAUAGAAAUAAUAGUCAUCCAAUGCCCUUUUAAAUUGUGUUGGGGAAGAGAGUCUAUUGGGUUGUUUAUUAUUAUUAUUUAUUACAGUCAUACCUAGAGUUACAGACGCUUUAGGUUGUGUGUUUUUGGGUUGCGCACCACACCAAACCUGGAAGUACCGAAACAGGUUACUUCUGGGUUUUGGCGCAUGCGCAGAAGCACUAAAUAGCUCUUUGCGCAUGCGCAGAAGCGCCGAAUCGUGACCCAUGUGUGCGCACACAUGGCGCUGUGGGUUGCGAAUGCCGUGGGUUGCGAACGUACCUCCCGCACGGAUCACGUUUGCAACCCGAGCGUCCACUGUAUUAUUAUUAUUAUUAUUAUUAUGCAUUUUGUGUUUUUAUAUUGUGAUUUCAUGUUGCAACCGCCCUGAGGCCUGAGGGUACAGGGCGGCAUACCAAUUUUAAUAAUAAAAUAAUAAUGGUUAAACUAUGGAACUCACUCCCGCAGGAGACAGUGAUGGCCACCGACUUGGACAGCUUCAAAAGAGGAUUAGACAGAUUUGCGGAGGAGGCUCUGGAGGGCUACUAGCCAUGGCGGCUCUGCUGCGCCUCCACUGUCAGCAGGUUCUGAAUGCCAGUUGCUGGAAACACAAGAGGGGAGAGGUCUCCUGUGCUCAAAUCCUGCUUGCAGGUCUCCCAGAAUGAGCACCUGGUUGCUGGACUAGAUGGGCCAUUGGCCUGAUUCAGCAGGCAAUUCUUGUGUUCUUAAGGUGGCUCAGUCCAUCCUGGAAGCAAUCCCAGAUGUGCCAGGGGCGUUCCCUGUUGCCCUGUGCAAGGAGGGCUAAGGCUGCCUGCCCAUUGCACACCUAGCGCCAGGCUCCUGCCAGCUCCCAGCUCCUUCCUGCUUCUCACCUGGCACCUCGGGAGGAGGAGGUCAGGGAGAGGUGAGAUAGAAGAAGUCUCCCUCUGCCAGCCUCCUGGAGGAGGAGAUUAGGAGAGGAUUAAGUGGGCUGGUUGGUACAGUUACUCACCCGCAGCAAUGCAGGGAGGCCGGUUUUUCUGCUACCCGUUUGAUACCCAUCUCCUAGGUGAUAACUUCCACCUGAGGAGGUUGGCCCCAAAGCUCCAAAUGAGCCCCUACCUCCGGCCUGCAAGAGAACCUAAGAACCCAAAUAAGAGAACUGCUGCAUUGGACCAAUGGUCCAUCUAGCCCAGCAUCCAUUUCUUACUUUAGCCAAAUAGGACCUAGGGAUCGAGAUAGACUGC